CCUACGGGAGGCAGCAGUGGGGAAUAUUGCGCAAUGGGCGAAAGCCUGACGCAGCGACGCCGCGUGAGGGAUGAAGGUCUUCGGAUCGUAAACCUCUGUCAGCAGGGAAGUACGGUCACUGUGCUAAUCAGCAGUGACUUGACGGUACCUGCAAGGGAAGCACCGGCUAACACCGUGCCAGCAGCAGCGGUAAUACGGAGGGUGCGCGCGUUAAUCGGAAUUACUGGGCGUAAAGCGCACGUAGGCGGUAUGUCAAGUCAAGGGUGAAAUCCCCGCGCUCAACGUGGGAACUGCCUUUGAAACUGGCAGACUGGAGUGUGUGUGAGGAUAGUGGAAUUCCAGGUGUAGGAGUGAAAUCCGUAGAUAUCUGGAGGAACAUCAGUGGCGAAGGCGACUAUCUGGCACAUAACUGACGCUGAGGAGCGAAAGCGUGGGUAGCAAACAGGAUUAGAUACCCUUGUAGUC
rnacentral:rRNA from 1 species